ensembl:lncRNA
GCACCAACCACCUUGCGGCCGCAGCGCAAUGCAGCAGCUUCGGCAAUGGAAAUGCUGAACAUGGUCCAUUCGGACUCAAUGUCCCCAGUCUCCCUCGGAAUGCUGCUGAAGCUCUGCCGGAGGUGUGCGUUGAAGAUCUCGCGGACUGGGGCCUCUGCUAGACGUUCCCAGCACACCCUCACUACGCGUUUAGGUGCACCAGGUCUGUCCAGCGUCCUCCCCCGCCACCUGAUCCAACUCACCACCAGGUGGUGAUCAGUUGACAGCUCAGCCCCUCUCUUUACCCGAGUGUCCAGAACAUAUGGUCGCAGGUCAGGUGAUACGAUUACAAAAUCGAUCAUCGACCUACAGCCUAGAGCGUCCUGGUGCCACGUGCACUUAUGGACACUCUUAUGUUCGAACAAGGUGUUCGUUAUGGCCAAACUGUGAUUAGCACAGAAGUCCAACAACAAAACACAGCUUGGGGUCAGAUCAGGAAGGUUGUUCCUUCCAAUCACGCCCCUCCAGGUCUCGCUGUUGUUACCCACGUGAGCAUUGAAGUCUCCCAGCAGGACAACAGAGGCUCCAGGUGGAGCACCUUCCAGCACCACCCCCCCCCCCAGGGUCUUUAAGAAGGCUGGGUACUCUGAACUGCCACUUGGCAGAUGACAGUUGGGACCUGUUCCCCGACCCUAAGGUGCAGGGAACAAACCCUCUCAUCCACCGGGAAGAACCCCAACGUACCGGCAGCAAGCCGAAGGGAUAUUAGAAUACCCACCCCAGCCCACCAACUCUCACCAGGGGCAACUCCAGACUGAGACAGAGUCCAUUCCCUCUCCAGGAGACUGGUUCCAGAGCCCAAGCCAUGCGUAGAGGUGAGCCCGACUAUAUCUAGCCGGUACCUCUCAACCUCACGCACUAACUCAGGCUCCUUCCCCACCAGAGAGGUGACAUUCCAUGUCCCUAUUGCCAGUCUUGGUAGCCAGGGAUCAGUCCGCCAGGGCCUCCGCUCCUGGCCGCCGUCCGGCACCCAAUGCACCCAAUGCGCCUUCUGUGGGUGGGUGGGCCUGCAGGAGUGUGGGCCCAUGUCCUCUUUUCGGGCUGUGCCCGGCCAGGCCCCAUGGACUAAGGCCCGGCCACCAGACACUCGCCCUUGGGCACCCUCCCUGGGCCUGGCUCCAGGGCGGGGCCCCGGUAACCCUAUAAGUCUUGCCGGCUUUAUAGUCAGUGUUCAGUCAAGUCAAAUCCAAAAGGUCAAAAGUCUGUGAUGGGUGUGAUUUUGUCCAACCGCUCUGUUGCAAUUCUUCGUGAGAGAAGAGCAACCUGCCCUUCUGGGCCAACUCGGAAUGGCUGUGGUUCGGUUCAAAGGGAACAGCUCGCCAUCUUCCUCGUCAGGAAGAGAUCCAGGUCUCACGAUCCCACAAAAAAAGCCAGCACGCUUCUAAUGUUCAACUCUCAGAGAGGAUAUUGUCCGCUUCCUCCGCGCCCGUGCAGAUCACGAUGGUUCCAAAGUGUUCACAACAAAUCAGAUAACUUCACAGGAAAACCACCUUCCUUGACCAUCAGCAGCCCAAAGUGUAACUGCACCCAGCAGACCCACAAUGCAGCAGGUCUGAAGGGUCAGCUGUGGUUCUGGGUGCUUCUGGGAAAAACUACCAUCCUGCUCCUGAGCCUGGCCUCGCUGGCUGUAAAACACAAGACAGAAUGAGAUCAGACGGACACCCAUAUCUCCUCUCAGCAUUGCUUUGUUUGUAUUAUUCAGUUUUAAGAUGUAGCCUCUUUUAUUCUGUCUUCUUUUAAAUUUAAGCUCUGCAUUAUUUAGUCCGCAAUUAACACGCAUGCACACACACAUUUGACUAAAUACCCACUGCAAGGAACAAUCAGUUUAUACUGGGGCUCACUCAUUUGCAGUAAAUUUGUUUAUUUGUGGUGUCUGAUUUGCUGAAGCUUUGCUCUUUAAAUUAACACCAGGAUCCAUGAUUUUGCUAAUUAUUUUCAUCAUGAUUUGCUUAAAAUAAUGAAAACAUGACAAAGGUGUUUUUAAAACAACUCGAGACAUUAAAACAGUAAAUAAUUCCCUUAUUAACUCUCCAAUAGUUUGCUCUGAGGCUGCAUAACCAACACCAGAUUAUGUCGACUCCUUGAGUGGAUGGACGGGAACAUGAUAGUAUUCCUCAGUAUUAUUGUCUGCACAUAGAGAGGGCUAGAUGAACAUGGGGCACUGGUUUAGGUCACUGUUGUGAUCUACAUCCUGAAAGGUUAAUGAUGCAGAGGCCCUGAGCUGCUCGCUGCUCCUCUUUGUCCCAGCUUUCUUCUGUUCUCUUCACUGUCAUGCUGCUAAAUAAAUGCAACAAAUAAAAAAAUGGUCUUGUG